GAUGAACGCUAGCGGCAGGCCUAAUACAUGCAAGUCGAACGGUGUCUUCGGACAUAGUGGCGCACGGGUGCGUAACACGUAUGCAACCUACCUUACAUUGGGGGAUAGCCUUUCGAAAGGGGGAUUAAUACCGCAUAAGACAGUAGCUGGGCAUCCAGCAGCUGUUAAAGAUUUAUCGAUGUAAGCUGGGCAUGCGUCCAACUAGCUCGUUGGUGAGGUAACGGCCCACCAAGGCAAUGAUUGGUAGGGGAACUGAGAGGUCAAUCCCCCACACUGGCACUGAGAUACGGGCCAGACUCCUACGGGAGGCAGCAGUAGGGAAUAUUGGGCAAUGGACGCAAGUCUGACCCAGCCAUGCCGCGUGCAGGAUGAAGGCGUUAUGCGUUGUAAACUGCUUUUAUACAGGAAGAAACGACUCUUGCGAGAGGCAUUGACGGUACUGUAUGAAUAAGCACCGGCUAACUCCGUGCCAGCCGCCGCCGUAAGAC
rnacentral:rRNA from 1 species